AGUGAAAUAUAGUAACGAAGCCCGUGAGCCAUGCGUCAAGAAAAGCCGCUAUUGUUUAUAUUGUACCCGUACCGUAAACCGACACAGGUGGAUGAGGAGAGAAUCCUAAGGCCGGCGGAAGAAGUAUUGCCAAGGAACUCGGCAAAAUGGCCCCGUAACUUAGGGAGAAGGGGUGCCUGCGAGAGCAGGCCGCAGAGAAUAGGCUCAAGCAACUGUUUAGCAAAAACACAGGUCUAUGCGAAACCGAAAGGUGAGGUAUAUGGGCUGACGCCUGCCCGGUGCUGGAAGGUUAAGAGGAGAGGUUAGACGCAAGUCGAAGCUUUGAAUUUAAGCCCCAGUAAACGGCGGCCGUAACUAUAACGGUCCUAAGGUAGCGAAAUUCCUUGUCGGGUAAGUUCCGACCCGCACGAAAGGCGUAAUGAUUUGAGCGCUGUCUCGGCAAUACAUCCGGUGAAAUUGAAGUGCCAGUGAAGAUGCUGGCUACCCGCGCCAGGACGGAAAGACCCCAUGGAGCUUUACUCCAGUUUGGCACUGGGGUCCGGUGUUGCAUGUACAGGAUAGGUGGGAGGCUGAGAGAUAGUGACGUCAGUUGCUAUGGAGCCGCUGUUGGGAUACCACCCUUGUGAUAUUGGGCUUCUAACCAGCCGCCGUGAACCGGCGGUGGGACAAUGCCAGGCGGGGAGUUUGACUGGAGCGGUCGCCUCCGAAAGGGUAUCGGCGGCGCCCAAAGGUUCCCUCAGAAUGGACGGAAACCAUUCGAAGAGUGCAAAGGCAGAAGGGAGCUUGACUGCGACACCGACGGGUGGAGCAGGUACGAAAGUAGGGCUUAGUGAUCCGGUGGUAUUAAGUGGGAAUGCCAUCGCUCAACGGAUAAAAGCUACCCUGGGAUAACAGGCUUAUCACUCCCAAGAGUUCACAUCGACGGAGUGGUUUGGCACCUCGAUGUCGGCUCAUCGCAUCCUGGGGCUGUAGUAGGUCCCAAGGGUUGGGCUGUUCGCCCAUUAAAGCGGUACGCGAGCUGGGUUCGGAACGUCGUGAGACAGUUCGGUCCCUAUCCGGCGUGGGCGUAGGAUAUCUGAGAGGAGCUGUCCUUAGUACGAGAGGACCGGGAUGGACGGACCGCUGGUGGACCGGUUGGCUUGCCAAAGCCAUGGCCGGGUAGCCAAGUCCGGAAGGGAUAAACGCUGAAGGCAUCUAAGCGUGAAGCCCCCCUCAAGAUGAGAUAUCCCAUUCUUUAAGAAGUAAACCCCCUUGAAGACGACGAGGUAGAUAGGGCAGAGGUGGAAGUGUGGUAACACAUGGAGCUGACUGUUACUAAUCGGGUGAGGGCUUGACC
rnacentral:rRNA from 1 species